UACGGAGGAUGCAAGCGUUAUCCGGAAUUAUUGGGCGUAAAGCGUCCGCAGGUGGCACUUCAAGUCUGCUGUCAAAGACCGGGGCUUAACCCCAGAAAGGCAGUGGAAACUGAAGUGCUAGAGUGCAGUAGGGGUAGAGGGAAUUCCCGGUGUAGCGGUGAAAUGCGUAGAGAUCGGGAAGAACAUCGGUGGCGAAAGCGCUCUGCUGGACUGCAACUGACACUCAGGGACGAAAGCUAGGGGAGCGAAUGGG
rnacentral:rRNA from 1 species